rnacentral:rRNA from 1 species
UGGGGGAUAUUGCACAAUGGGGGAAACCCUGAUGCAGCAACGCCGCGUGAGGGAAGAAGGUUUUCGGAUUGUAAACCUCUGUCCUUGGUGAAGAUAAUGACGGUAGCCAAGGAGGAAGCUCCGGCUAACUACGUGCCAGCAGCCGCGGUAAUACGUAGGGAGCAAGCGUUGUCCGGAUUUACUGGGUGUAAAGGGUGCGUAGGCGGCUAUGCAAGUCAGGCGUGAAAACUAUGGGCUUAACCCAUAGCCUGCGUUUGAAACUGCGUAGCUUGAGUGAAGUAGAGGCAGAUGGAAUUCCCGGUGUAGCGGUGGAAUGCGUAGAGAUCGGAAGGAACACCAGUGGCGAAGGCGGUCUGCUGGGCUUUAACUGACGC